rnacentral:rRNA from 1 species
AACUUUUAACAACGGAUCUCUUGGUUCUGGCAUCGAUGAAGAACGCAGCGAAAUGCGAUAAGUAAUGUGGAAUUGCAGAAUUCAGUGAAUCAUCGAAUCUUUGAACGGACAUUGCGCCCGCCAGCAUUCUGGCGGGCAUGCCUGUUCGAGGGUCAUUUC